rnacentral:rRNA from 1 species
GACUCUCGGCAACGGAUAUCUCGGCUCUCGCAUCGAUGAAGAACGUAGCGAAAUGCGAUACUUGGUGUGAAUUGCAGAAUCCCGUGAACCAUCGAGUCUUUGAACGCAAGUUGCGCCCGAAGCCUUCUGGCCGAGGGCACGCCUGCCUGGGCGUCA